GAUGAACGCUGGCGGCGUGCCUAAUACAUGCAAGUCGAGCGAACAGAUGAGGAGCUUGCUCCUCUGACGUUAGCGGCGGACGGGUGAGUAACACGUGGAUAACCUACCUAUAAGACUGGGAUAACUUCGGGAAACCGGCGCUAAUACCGGAUAAUAUAUUGAACCGCAUGGUUCAUUAGUGAAAGACGGUUUUGCUGUCACUUAUAGAUGGUUCCGCGCCGCAUUAGCUAGUUGGUAAGGUAAAGGCUUACCAAGGCAACGAUGCGUAGCCGAACUGAGAGGGUGAUCGGCCACACUGGAACUGAGACACGGUCCAGACUCCUACGGGAGGCAGCAGUAGGGAAUCUUCCGCAAUGGGCGAAAGCCUGACGGAGCAACGCCGCGUGAGUGAUGAAGGUCUUCGGAUCGUAAAACUCUGUUAUUAGGGAAGAACAAAUGUGUAAGUAACUAUGCACGUCUUGACGGUACCUAAUCAGAAAGCCACGGCUAACUACGUG
rnacentral:rRNA from 1 species